AGUCCAUGGUGUGGGCAUUUUCUUAACAUUGUCUUGAAAUGCUCACACGCCUCAUAUAGGGACUCACCUUUGAACUAUAUAAAAUUGGCGAUUUCUCGCCUUAAUU
rfam:Gossypium raimondii chromosome 8, whole genome shotgun sequence.